ACUCCUACGGGAGGCAGCAGUAGGGAAUAUUGGACAAUGGGCGAAAGCCUGAUCCAGCAAUGCCGCGUGAGUGAUGAAGGUUUAUGGAUCGUAAAGCUCUGUCGUAUAGGAAUAAAUGCCUGUGGUUAAUACCCGCAGGAGCUGAAGGUACUAUACAAGAAAGCACCGGCUAACUACGUGCCAGCAGCCGCGGUAAUACGUAGGGUGCUAGCGUUGUUCGGAAUUACUGGGCGUAAAGCGUAUGUAGGCGGCCAUUUAAGUCAGAUGUGAAAGCCCCGGGCUCAACCUGGGACGUGCAUCUGAUACUAUUUGGCUUGAGUACAGGAGAGGGUAGUGGAAUUUCAGGUGUAGUGGUGAAAUACGUAGAUAUCUGAAGGAACAUCGGUGGCGAAGGCGGCUGCCUGGCCUUGUACUGACGCUGAGAUACGAAAGCGUGGGGAGCAAACAGGAUUAGAUACCCUGGUAGGAUAGCGU
rnacentral:rRNA from 1 species